rnacentral:rRNA from 1 species
UACGGAGGGUGCGAGCGUUGUCCGGAAUCACUGGGCGUAAAGGGCGCGUAGGCGGCCUGAUAAGUAGGGGGUGAAAUCCUGAGGCUUAACCUCAGGGCUGCCUUCUAAACUGUCAGGCUCGAGCACAGUAGAGGCAGGUGGAAUUCCCGGUGUAGCGGUGGAAUGCGUAGAGAUCAGGAAGAACACCAGUGGCGAAGGCGCUCUGCUAGGCCGUAACUGACACUGAGGGACGAAAGCUAGGGGAGCGAAUGGG